UCUCAUUUUCUAUUGGUUGGCCGCCAUGUUUCGUCGGAGUUGCGCAGAUUUCAGAUUUAGUUUGUUUAUGUUUAUUUGUCAAAACGUGUUCAGCAGAUGAGUUGUCAAGUUUGUGGAAAUUACCGGCUUCGACUUUCGAUUAUCCGAAUUUUUCAUAUUUCAAAAUGCAGCUGUUGGAUGUUCAAAUUCUACAGAGAAGGGUUUCAUUAUGAAAUGCUUUCCAAGGGAUCCUGUCAGACGAAAUGAUUGGGCAUUAAGAACAAGACGAGCUAACUGGUUCCCCACUAAUAAUUCUUAUUUGUGUGAAGCACACUUCGCUCCUGAUAUGUGAGAGAAGGUGAGAGUUGAAACAAUGCUGUUCCUACAAUAUUUCCUUUCCUAUACAAUAAUGAGAAGCAAGCAGAUAGUACCCAAUGCUCUGCAAGUAAAAAACAACCUGAAGCUGAUAUCUGUUGCACAAUAUUUGAAAAACCCAAGUAAUAGUAGUUACGACAAUGAUGAUAGAGAGUUUCUAUCAGGAUUUUUAGACACUAUUACCCCAAAGAUCUAUAAAUGUGAUGCAGUUAAAAUUCCGAAAAGUGUUGAACUCAAUUCCUUUUAUAACAUAUGUGGAUACCUGAUAACAAGCAUCAAAAGAACCUGGAGAGUGUGUAACACUUGCAUCUCCUCUGUUGGAUCAAAAAGUCCUACAAAUAAUAAAUAUUCAAAUUUCACACAAUUGAAAAGAUUCAGGACUCAUUCUUUGUUCUUUUGCAAUGAAACAACCUUCAAUUUUUUCAUUAAAUUAAAAUCUAUUUUUGUUCAAUAUAUAAAUGUUAUUGAAAAUCAAAAUGUAGAACUAAAGAAGUUUUAUAUUGAUAAAAUGAUUGCUGUUCGGUCAGAAAUUGUAAACCAUCGUCAUAAUUUGAAACAUAAAAUUAUAAUACGUUUUGUUGUGUACAGAUUGUGAAUAAGGUCAAAAAAAAAAAAACUUCUUUCCAGAGUUAUGGCCAGUAAGUCUAUGGCUGGUCAUUCCAGGUAAAUUUAUUAAUGAAAAAUUAUAAUUCCUACUUGUGUGUAGUUCUUGAGUUAUUUCUUAGUUAUAAUUUAAGUUAGAAAUUAAAGAUAACGAAUA